rnacentral:rRNA from 1 species
GAUGGACGCUAGCGGCAGGCCUAACACAUGCAAGUCGAGGGGGAAGUUACUUUCGGGUGACUGAGACCGGCGUACGGGUGCGUAACGCGUAUACAAUCUGCCUUUCACUGGGGGAUAGCCCGAAGAAAUUUGGAUUAAUACCCCAUAGUAUAUAGGGACGGCAUCGUUUUUAUAUUAAAGCUUAGGUGGUGAAAGAUGAGUAUGCGUUCUAUUAGCUAGUUGGAGAGGUAACGGCUCCCCAAGGCGAUGAUAGAUAGGGGUUCUGAGAGGGUAGUCCCCCACCGUGAGAAUGAGCAGCGACCCAGAGUCCUAGGGGAGGCAGAAGUGAGGAAGAUUGGAAAAUGGUGGGAAGAUUGAACCAGCCAUGCCGGGUGGAGGAUGAAGGUCUUAGGGAUUGAAAACUGCUUUUGUAAGGGAAAAAUAAGGGCUACGGGAUGUUUGAUAACGGAACCUUAGAAAAAACCCCGGCUAACUCCCUG